GGAAAGUUAUAGCAAAGUCUUGGCGAUUUUAUUAAUUCCGCGAUACAGAACGAGAACAUUUUUUCCUUGGCAAGGAAGAGAAGGGACCUUUGCAAAACCUGGGAGUGAGGACACCAGUUGGCUCUGAGUUCGUGAAUGCUUGGUGGUGUCUGGGACAGUGCCUGGUGCUGUCAGCUGGAGCUGGCAGGCCCACAUUGGAAGCAUCUUCUAAGUAGGAAGGGGAGACAAGGGCUUGAAGCUGGGGGAGAUGGGGAAAGCCUCCCGCCCCAUCCACGCCAUUCCUGCCUUCCCCUCGUCCUGGGUAUUUUGGAGCCUGCCAGCUGAGGAGUGCUCUCCCAGGGUUGGGACUGCAGGCGCCUGACAAACUGAAGAGCACUGAAGCUGGAGAUGCAAAGAAGAGGGAGCAUUGACUAUGUUCUUGGAGCAACGAGCAAGUCAGUGAGGCACGCGUGUGACAGGUGCCUUUCCUGAACCCAGCAAUCCUCCUCCCCUUUCCCUGGCUCUCCUGGGAACUCCUAAUGAAGUCAGAAUAAGCCACUCCAUCAAUUUAUGAUCCCCAGAUGACUGUGUCCCUUUGCUCCUUAAUCACUCAGGUACCCAGAUUCUCUAUUAGCAAGAAGCCCAGAACCCCCUUCUCGAGUCCUCUCUCGUUUUCAAUCUUCCAAGGACACCGAAGUCUUCCUUAACCCACUGCUGGGGGUUGACUGCCGAAGGUCACUGAUGCCGGGGCAUCUUGCCACCACAUGGGGGCACUGCCAAAGAUGUGUGCAGAAUAGUCCUGCAGACACUGCGCUCGGCAGCGGAGCUCAUGCUAGGCGAACCCUUGCCUGGGUGUUGGAGGUCACCCACACUUGAGACUUGAGUUUACAGCUCUCAUGGGUCACUCUUAAAUACUCAGAGCAGAAUGCCAAGUGACUCCUCAUCCAUGCUCCAUGCACCCUGGAUCCCAGAACGGGGCACAUCACUUUCCUCCACCACUGUCGCCCUGCUCGCCACCACCUCCUCCCGCUAGGCCGGGCUUUCUCAACCGCCACCCCUUUGACAUUUGGGGCCAGAUCUUUCUCCGCUGUGGGGACAUGGCAGGAUGCUUGGCAGCACCCCUGGCCUCUGCCUAUCAGGUGCCUGUAGCACACCACCACUAUGACAAGAAAAAAUGUCUCUAGACAUUGCCCAACAUCCCCUGAGGAGCAGAAUGGCCCCAGUGGAGAGCCAGUGCCCUAGACUAUUGGGGUACCACCCCUCCACGCUGGCCUGGACCCCCUCUACACUGGCCUAGACCCUCUCAACACUGGCCUGAACCCCCUUCAUGCUGGCCUGGACCCCCUCCAACUGGCCUGGACUCCCUCCCCUGGCCCCUUGCCUCCCUUUCUUGACAUCACAGUAGGGGUGAGCUUUAAAAAAACCACACAGCUCGUGAUGCAUGUCACGCUAGGUUCAAAAGCGCUGGGUGGUUUCUCUUGGUAUUUGAGAUCCACACCUCUGCCUUAGUGCCCGGGCCCUGCAGGGCCUGACCUCACCCCUGUCUCCAGCUUGACUGGCUCCCACACCAGGCACAAGAGCCCUGGCUGUGACAUCAGCACGCUCUGUCCUCUCUGCCUUAAGCCCUGUUCAGUCUGUCGCUGCAUUCCAGGCCCUUCCACACCCCAGGGGCCUGCAGAGGCCCUGGGACCCCGCCCCUGGUGUUGCCCACUCUACUACGCCUCUUGGUCCAUCUGCCUGAUUUAUGCCUUCAUUACCUUUCCUUAGUUAUAUCCGGUUUCUGUUUUAUUAGUUUAUUUUUAUUGUAUUUACUUCUGUCAUUCCCAUUAGACUGUCAGCUCCG
rnacentral:lncRNA from 10 species